AUAAAAUUACAAGUAUCUAGGAGAGUAAACAGAAAUCAACAAUGAUGAAGAUUUUGGUCAUGAUGGUGAUUGAGUUGAUAAUAUUUCAUGGUGAAACUACUCAGACACAAAACAAUAGUGGUUAUGGUAUUAAAGAUACUCCAUGUGAUGCAUAUUGUCAGAAGAUAUGUGCCUAUGCUGGAGACGGGUAUGAAGCAUGUUAUGCUGGAUGUCUAUUGGUUUGUGACCCUCCUAAAUCAGUUCCAGAUGUAGUCAAAAGAUGCACCUCUUCCUGUAUUCAAUCUACAUGUUCCAAAUAUAUUCACUCAGAUGUAAAUACCUUGGAGCAAUGUAUCGCAAAGGAAUGCAUAGGAAAGUGCGUACAGCUUGGAGCUCAAAAUUAAUUCUGAGAUUAUCUUAAAGACUCUAUUGUUUCUCUUUGUAUUGAAUAUAUAGAAUAAAUAUGAAAUCAGCAUUAUUUCGUCCACCACAUAUCAAUAAUAUAAAUAAUAAUUAGCUGCGAAUGGUCCCUAAAUUAGUAGUAAUUCAUUUUUUGUUGCUUGUAUUUAUCAUCUUUGACCUUUUAUUCUUCAUAUAUACAUAAAGAUAAUUAUUUUUCUUCA